rnacentral:rRNA from 1 species
UGGGGAAUAUUGCACAAUGGGGGAAACCCUGAUGCAGCAACGCCGCGUGAGUGAUGACAGCCUUCGGGUUGUAAAGCUCUGUCUUCAGGGACGAUAAUGACGGUACCUGAGGAGGAAGCCACGGCUAACUACGUGCCAGCAGCCGCGGUAAUACGUAGGUGGCAAGCGUUGUCCGGAUUUACUGGGCGUAAAGGGAGCGUAGGCGGACUUUUAAGUGAGAUGUGAAAUACCCGGGCUCAACCUGGGUGCUGCAUUUCAAACUGGAAGUCUAGAGUGCAGGAGAGGAGAGUGGAAUUCCUAGUGUAGCGGUGAAAUGCGUAGAGAUUAGGAAGAACACCAGUGGCGAAGGCGACUCUCUGGACUGUAACUGACGCUGAGGCUCGAAAGCGUGGGGAGCAAACA